rnacentral:lncRNA from 1 species
AUUGAUGAUCUCUAGGACCAGUUGCUCUUGGAACCCAGAGUCACCGUGUAAGAUGCCUGGCUGUCCUGAGUGCUAGGCUGUGGGAAAGCCUAAGCUGGCAAUGUGAAAAAGGAAAAAGAGAAGCCCAUCGACCUCUGAAAUGUCCAAGCCUUCAGCCACGGAGAGCUGCACCAGAUGAGGUUCCAGAUGACACAAAGCAGAGUGUCUUCUUAUACCUCACCAUCUUAGACGCAGGAAGGUAAAUACAACAGCAUCGGCUCAGCCCAGUGGAAAGAGAAAAAACAGUGGAGUACAACUAAAUAAAUCUCCUGUCAAGAAUAACACUCAUCACUCUUUGUUAAUCUCUUUAUUACCCUUUUCCUUGAAUAAGGAAAAGAGGCAGGAUUUGAGAGCAC